rnacentral:rRNA from 2 species
GGCGGCGGGCCUAUACAUGCAAGUCGAACGAGUUCUUGUUGAUGAUCGGUGCUUGCACCGAGAUUCAACAUGGAACGAGUGGCGGACGGGUGAGUAACACGUGGGUAACCUGCCCUUAAGUGGGGGAUAACAUUUGGAAACAGAUGCUAAUACCGCAUAGAUCCAAGAACCGCAUGGUUCUUGGCUGAAAGAUGGCGUAAGCUAUCGCUUUUGGAUGGACCCGCGGCGUAUUAGCUAGUUGGUGAGGUAAUGGCUCACCAAGGCGAUGAUACGUAGCCGAACUGAGAGGUUGAUCGGCCACAUUGGGACUGAGACACGGCCCAAACUCCUACGGGAGGCAGCAGUAGGGAAUCUUCCACAAUGGACGCAAGUCUGAUGGAGCAACGCCGCGUGAGUGAAGAAGGCUUUCGGGUCGUAAAACUCUGUUGUUGGAGAAGAAUGGUCGGCAGAGUAACUGUUGUCGGCGUGACGGUAUCCAACCAGAAAGCCACGGCUAACUACGUGCCAGCAGCCGCGGUAAUACGUAGGUGGCAAGCGUUAUCCGGAUUUAUUGGGCGUAAAGCGAGCGCAGGCGGUUUUUUAAGUCUGAUGUGAAAGCCCUCGGCUUAACCGAGGAAGCGCAUCGGAAACUGGGAAACUUGAGUGCAGAAGAGGACAGUGGAACUCCAUGUGUAGCGGUGAAAUGCGUAGAUAUAUGGAAGAACACCAGUGGCGAAGGCGGCUGUCUGGUCUGUAACUGACGCUGAGGCUCGAAAGCAUGGGUAGCGAACAGGAUUAGAUACCCUGGUAGUCCAUGCCGUAAACGAUGAAUGCUAGGUGUUGGAGGGUUUCCGCCCUUCAGUGCCGCAGCUAACGCAUUAAGCAUUCCGCCUGGGGAGUACGACCGCAAGGUUGAAACUCAAAGGAAUUGACGGGGGCCCGCACAAGCGGUGGAGCAUGUGGUUUAAUUCGAAGCAACGCGAAGAACCUUACCAGGUCUUGACAUCUUUUGAUCACCUGAGAGAUCAGGUUUCCCCUUCGGGGGCAAAAUGACAGGUGGUGCAUGGUUGUCGUCAGCUCGUGUCGUGAGAUGUUGGGUUAAGUCCCGCAACGAGCGCAACCCUUAUGACUAGUUGCCAGCAUUUAGUUGGGCACUCUAGUAAGACUGCCGGUGACAAACCGGAGGAAGGUGGGGAUGACGUCAAAUCAUCAUGCCCCUUAUGACCUGGGCUACACACGUGCUACAAUGGAUGGUACAACGAGUUGCGAGACCGCGAGGUCAAGCUAAUCUCUUAAAGCCAUUCUCAGUUCGGACUGUAGGCUGCAACUCGCCUACACGAAGUCGGAAUCGCUAGUAAUCGCGGAUCAGCACGCCGCGGUGAAUACGUUCCCGGGCCUUGUACACACCGCCCGUCACACCAUGAGAGUUUGUAACACCCGAAGCCGGUGGCGUAACCCUUUUAGGGAGCGAGCCGUCUAAGGUGAACAAA